GACGGAGGGUGCAAGCGUUGCUCGGAAUCAUUGGGCGUAAAGGGUGCGUAGGCGGCCUUACAAGUCUGACGUGAAAGCCCAGGGCUCAGCCUUGGAAGUGCGUUAGAAACUGUGGGGCUUGAGUGCCGGAGGGGAGAGUGGAAUUCCCGGUGUAGCGGUGAAAUGCGUAGAUAUCGGGAGGAAUACCGGUGGCGAAAGCGACUCUCUGGACGGUCACUGACGCUGAGGCACGAAAGCGUGGGGAGCAAACAGG
rnacentral:rRNA from 1 species